GCCCGCAUGGCUAAGUGGUAUAGCGUAUCACUAGUAAAAAAGCGACUUCCGGGGAGUUCUCUCCCUUCGAGGUCGUGCUAGGAUAAUGAUAAGGUCAUCAGUUCGAUUCUGAUUGUGGGCA